rnacentral:rRNA from 1 species
UACGUAGGGGGCAAGCGUUGUCCGGAUUUAUUGGGCGUAAAGAGCGUGUAGGCGGCCAAGCAGGUCCGCUGUGAAAACUCGAGGCUCAACCUCGAGACGUCGGUGGAAACCGUUUGGCUAGAGUCCGGAAGAGGAGAGUGGAAUUCCCGGUGUAGCGGUGAAAUGCGCAGAUAUCGGGAGGAACACCAAUGGCGAAGGCAGCUCGCUGGGGACGUUACUGACGCUGAGACGCGAAAGCGUGGGGAGCGAACAGG